GCCCUUAGAGUUUGAUCAUGGCUCAGGACGAACGCUGGCGGCGCGCUUAACACAUGCGAGUUGAACGCUCCGCCCUCUUCUGCCCUUCGGGGUAGAGAGGAUCACGGAGAGUAGCGGACGGGUGAGUAACGCGUAGGUAACCUGCCCUGAAGAGGAGAAUAACCCUGCGAAAGCGGGGCUAAUACUUCCAUAUGUUAGGGGGUCGAUAAGAUCCCUCAAUGAAAGGCGGCAUUAAGCCGUCACUUCGGGAUGGGCCUGCGUCGGAUUAGCUAGCUGGUAGGGUAAAGGCCUACCAGGGCGACAAUCCGUAGCUGGUCUGAGAGGACGAUCAGCCACACUGGGACUGAGACACGGUCCAGACUCCUACGGGAGGCAGCAGUGGGGAAUCUUCCGCAAUGGGCGCAAGCCUGACGGAGCGAC
rnacentral:rRNA from 1 species